rnacentral:rRNA from 1 species
AACGAACGCUGGCGGCAUGCCUAACACAUGCAAGUCGAACGAGAUCUUCGGAUCUAGUGGCGCACGGGUGCGUAACGCGUGGGAAUCUGCCCUUGGGUUCGGAAUAACAGUGAGAAAUUACUGCUAAUACCGGAUGAUGUCUUCGGACCAAAGAUUUAGUGCCCAAGGAUGAGCCCGCGUAGGAUUAGCUAGUUGGUGGGGUAAUGGCCUACCAAGGCGACGAUCCUUAGCUGGUCUGAGAGAAUGAUCAGCCACACUGGUACUGAAACACGGCCCAUACGACUACGGGAGGCAGCAGUGGGGAAUAUUGGAAGAUGGGAGGAACCCUGAUCAAGCAAUGCCGAGUGAGUGAUGACGGCAUUAGGAUUGUAAAUCUCUUUUACCAGGGAUGAUAAUGACAGUACAUGGAGAAUAAGCUCCGGCUAACUCCGUGGCAGCCGCCGCAGUAA